rnacentral:lncRNA from 1 species
CUAGUUAGUAGUUACAUCAAUUUCAUUUAUUUAGUCUCGUAAUAUAACUACUAAUGCAAUAAUAAAUAACUGAUAAUUGCGGUAAGAAUACUGUAAUCAUUAGUUAUGCAUAACAAGUUUAGUGUAUUAUACUCAUAAAAUAUAAUAAAUCAUUAUUUAAUAUUGCAUUUUGAUGUAGAAAAUCGAUGGUCUCUUUAUACAAAUAAUGGAUUCCUCUACAUAAGCUUGAACUUUGCUGUUUUUCUCUUAUGUUAUCCCUUGUCAUCGAUUCACAUAUAGAGAGAGAGAACCACAAGAACGAUAACCCAUCAACCGUGAUAAAAAUUGUCAUGAGACUCCCAUCAAGUUUCAUGCCACUAUGGAAUUUCGAGAUGGUGAAAAUACUUUUUUCUUUUAUGAAAGAAUUCUUAAUCAUUUCUAACUUUAAUCAAAAUUACAAGUUUAUCGGAAGUAUCUGUGCAAUUAUAAGAAAAACAAUAAUAACUUUUCUGUCGUAACAAUUUUUUUCUGAUAUAUACAUCACCG